AGCAACGACCGCGUCGAGUGAAGAAGGUUUUCGGAGUCGUAAAGACUCUAGUUGUAAGUUCAAGAACGAGUGUGAGAGUGGAAAGUUCACACUGUGACGGUAGCUUACCAGAAAGGGACGGCGUAACUACGUGCCCAGCAGCCGCGGUAAUACGUAGGUCCCGAGCGUUGUCCGGAUUUAUUGGGCGUAAAGCGAGCGCAGGCGGUUUGAUAAGUCUGAAGUUAAAGGCUGUGGCUCAACCAUAGUUCGCUUUGGAAACUGUCAAACUUGAGUGCAGAAGGGGAGAGUGGAAUUCCAUGUGUAGCGGUGAAAUGCGUAGAUAUAUGGAGGAACACCGGUGGCGAAAGCGGCUCUCUGGUCUGUAACUGACGCUGAGGCUCGAAAGCGUGGGGAGCGAACAGGAUUAGAUACCCUGGUAGUCCACGCCGUAAACGAUGAGUGCUAAGUGUUGGAGGGUUUCCGCCCUUCAGUGCUGCAGUUAACACAUUAAGCACUCCGCCUGGGG
rnacentral:rRNA from 1 species